CCUACGGGUGGCUGCAGUGAGGAAUAUUGGUCAAUGGACGAGAGUCUGAACCAGCCAAGUAGCGUGAAGGAUGACUGCCCUAUGGGUUGUAAACUUCUUUUAUAUGGGAAUAAAACGUUCCACGUGUGGGAUUUUGUAUGUACCAUAUGAAUAAGGAUCGGCUAACUCCGUGCCAGCAGCCGCGGUAAUACGGAGGAUCCGAGCGUUAUCCGGAUUUAUUGGGUUUAAAGGGAGCGUAGGUGGAUUGUUAAGUCAGUUGUGAAAGUUUGCGGCUCAACCGUAAAAUUGCAGUUGAAACUGGCAGUCUUGAGUACAGUAGAGGUGGGCGGAAUUCGUGGUGCAGCGGUGAAAUGCUUAGAUAUCACGAAGAACUCCGAUGGCGAAGGCAGUUCACUGGACUGCAACUGACACUGAGGCUCGAAAGUGUGGGUAUCAAACAGGAUUAGAUACCCCAGUAGUC
rnacentral:rRNA from 1 species